CUCUGAUUGGGAGCUUGUCACAUUUCUGUGUGACCCCAAUCCCUAGCGAAAAAAGGAACCUUGUUUUUCAGUGUAAGACAGGAGAGGGAAGGGAAAGCUGAAUACUUAGCAGCUCUUUGUUUGAGAAGUUUGAAAGGGUAUCACCUACUCCUGUGUUUGAAUUGUAUGCAGGCACCACAUGACUUUAAACUUUUUGCUAGGAUGCAGAAAUACCCUACAGUGUACAAACCUGCAUAUGCUUAUUAUAGUGGGAUACGUAACAUGUUAGUGACUAUUAGUGGCUUUUAGUGGCUUUUUCUCAUGAAAAAGAAGAUGGAUUUUCUGUACCUUUAAUAAUUCUAUGAAAGAGGAAAGUUCAGCUGGUGCUACUUGGAUGAACAAGCCGCACCUGCUGAAAUUUUAUCUUCUAAGCAGCUAUUAAAACUGCAAAAAGCCUGUUUUCUUUUUCAUUUGGUCAUCUUAAAUAACAUGGGAGUUGGGAAAUCUCCUGUCAAGCCUAUUAUUAAUCUACUUUUGUUAUGUGCCAUCAAGUCAGAAUUGACUUGCAGCCACCCUUGAGAGUUUUCAGAUCCAUGAUCUUGGAUGCACCACAUGGGAGGAAAUACGACAGAAGGAAUGGCAAAAGCAGUUUCUGCACAUGAGCCAUUGCUUGAGGAUAAUUUCUGGGAAUUAUGCCAUUGAGCCAUGUCAACUGGCUUUGUGAAUCAUCUUGGCUGUUUCCUUCCUGCAGUUCUCCUUGGAUAUCUUCUGUUGCACAUAAACAUGGCUACAGUAAAAAUAUACAAAUUUGAACCAAUAGCUUUAGUGUCUUCUGUUCCUGAAGUAUCUUCAGUGUCUUCUGUUCAGUCAGUGUUCAAAGGUCACGUAAUUACCAUCAGUUGGCAUACUUCAAGGACACUCAAAACAAUGUCACAAAAAUAUUUGUGUUGACAGUGAACAUUGCCAAAAACAGUCCACACAAUGUUUAUCUCUGAGCACCACACAAGGUUGAGUUUCAGAAGACAUAUGCCAACUAUCUUUUUAUUUUUAUUUUUAUUCUUUGUCUACUUAGUAUACAAAGCACAGGGGCUGACUAGUUUGUUUCUUUGAAGUUGCUUUCUUCCAAAUAUAUUGCAAAUGUAAACUACUUUUUAGUUAUGCUUGUUAGCUGUGCAGUGUGAGGCCUUUGAUGUCAGUUUGCCUGUAGUACAUAAAAACCAUUUUACAUUGCAACAUCAGAAUAAAACGUGGUGCAGAUUUUAUUUUAUAGGCUGC
rnacentral:lncRNA from 1 species